rnacentral:lncRNA from 1 species
ACCGUGUGUGAGCAUAAAUAAGUCCAUGCAGCCAAGUCUGUGUAUACUGUGUACAUCUCUGGGAAUAUACCACAGAUCUUGGUUUGUCGAGACAUGUGUUCUUCCAAGCAGUAAUAGCUCUGAUGUAUGAAAUUUGCUAUUGAAUAUAGAGGCAGCCUAUAAAUAAAUCUGUGGAAAACAUGCCAAGGGGCAAGAUGAUCUGCAACAACAAACGUGCAAUGCAGAGGAGCAGUGUUUGGCUUGUGCAUGACAAUUAGAGACUAUGCAUGCUUCUGGCUGUAGAAUGGUGAGCAAAUGUCUGUCUUCAUGUGAAUUUAAUGCAUACAACAGUAGUGAUAUUACAACAAAAGUACAUUAAGUAAAAAAGUGCAUGCAUGCAUACAUGACAAUUAGAGACUAUGCAUGCUUCUGGCUGUAGAAUGGUGAGCAAAUGUCUGUCUUCAUGUGAAUAUUUAAUGCAUACAACAGUAGUGAUAUUACAACAAAAGUAUAUUAAGGAAAAAAGUGCAUGC